rnacentral:rRNA from 1 species
CCUACGGGUGGCAGCAGUGAGGAAUAUUGGUCAAUGGGCGCGAGCCUGAACCAGCCAAGUAGCGUGAAGGAUGACUGCUCUACGGGUUGUAAACUUCUUUUAUAAAGGAAUAAAGUGAGGCACGUGUGCCCUUUUGUAUGUACUUUAUGAAUAAGGAUCGGCUAACUCCGUGCCAGCAGCCGCGGUAAUACGGAGGAUCCGAGCGUUAUCCGGAUUUAUUGGGUUUAAAGGGAGCGUAGGUGGGUUGUUAAGUCAGUUGUGAAAGUUUGCGGCUCAACCGUAAAAUUGCAAUUGAUACUGGCAGUCUUGAGUACAGUUGAGGUAGGCGGAAUUCGUGGUGUAGCAGUGAAAUGCUUAGAUAUCGCGAAGAACUCCGGUUGCGAAGGCAGCUUACUAAACUGCCACUGACAUUGAUGCACGAAGGUGUGGGUAUCGAACAGGAUUAGAUACCCCUGUAGUC